rnacentral:rRNA from 1 species
CUCCUACGGGGGGCAGCAGUGGGGAAUAUUGCACAAUGGGCGAAAGCCUGAUGCAGCAACGCCGCGUGAGCGAUGAAGGCCUUCGGGUCGUAAAGCUCUGUCCUCAAGGAAGAUAAUGACGGUACUUGAGGAGGAAGCCCCGGCUAACUACGUGCCAGCAGCCGCGGUAAUACGUAGGGGGCUAGCGUUAUCCGGAAUUACUGGGUGUAAAGGGAGCGUAGACGGUGAUGCAAGUCUGGAGUGAAAGGCGGGGGCCCAACCCCCGGACUGCUCUGGAAACUGUAUGACUUGAGUGCGGGAGAGGG